rnacentral:rRNA from 1 species
GAGGGGCAGCGGAGAGUAGCAAUACUCUGCCGGCGACCGGCGAAAGGGUGCGUAACGCGUGAGCAACUUGCCCGUAUCCGGGACAUAAGCGGUGGAAACGCCGUCUAAUUUCCCAUAACAACGAGGGCCGCAUGACCCAUGUUUGAAAGAUCCGUCGGAUACGGAUGGGCUCGCGAGACAUUAGCUAGUCGGCGUGGUAACGGCACACCGAGGCGACGAUGUCUAGGGGUUCUGAGAGGAAGGUCCCCCACACUGGAACUGAGACACGGUCCAGACUCCUACGGGAGGCAGCAGUGAGGAAUAUUGGUCAAUGGGCGCAAGCCUGAACCAGCCAUGCCGCGUGAAGGAAUAAGGCCCUAUGGGUCGUAAACUUCUUUUGUGGUGGAGCAAUAAGGUGCACGUGUGCAUCGAUGAGAGUACAUCACGAAUAAGCAUCGGCUAACUCCGUGCCAGCAGCCGCGGUAAUACGGAGGAUGCAAGCGUUAUCCGGAUUUAUUGGGUUUAAAGGGUGCGUAGGCUGUUCGACAAGUCAGGGGUGAAAGCCCAGUGCCUAACACUGGAACUGCCUUUGAUACUGCCGAGCUGGAAUACGGAUGCCGUGGGAGGAAUGAGUAGUGUAGCGGUGAAAUGCAUAGAUAUUACUCAGAACACCGAUUGCGAAGGCAUCUCACGAAUCCGUCAUUGACGCUGAGGCACGAAAGCGUGGGGAUCAAACAGGAUAGAUACCCUGGUAGUCCACGUAGUAAACGAUGAUAACUAACCGUC